rnacentral:lncRNA from 1 species
AGCUGUUCUUCCCCUCUGCUGACUUUAUGUGGAGUAAAGGGCUACUCCAGCUGAGGAAAAAUGCCAAUAAAGGAGAUGAAAACAGCCAGAAAUUGUAUAUACUUAUCAUGUACAACAUGAUGCCCUGAAAUAUGUCUACACUACGGGAUGGCCAAAUUGAGGCAAUUAACAUAUGCAAGACCUCACAAACUUCAAAUUUUUUGUGGUGAGAACACUUAAAAUCCACAAAAAUUAGUAAUGUUCAGAAAUACGCCCAGACAGACGUCAACAUGGCUGCAGCUGAGAUGCAGGGCCACAACAAGAUACCCUUGUUCAUGAGACUGAUCUUAAGAAGACAGAUUCACUUGAGAGGAGAUGACCCUGUGGUACUCUGUUGCUGAUAUCCCAAAGAAAAAUCUGUUUGUUGUCACAUAAUAGUAACGUGGCAUAAACUAUCCGUUUAAUAAUUACUCAGCUUUAAGAUUAAGACUAAGACUUAUAUUUAAGACUUUAACACUAAAUUUAAGACUAAGACUUAAGUUUAAGACUUUAAGUUUAUUACUAAGCUUAUGAAAACUUAAAAAGACCUUAAUAAAGCCAGGAAUAGUGGCGCACACCUAUAAUCUCAGCUACUCAGGAGACUGAGGUGGGAGGAUCACUUGAGAAUAGCAGUUUGAAACCAGCCUGGGCAACAUAGUGAGACUCUAUCUCUAAAGAAAUGUAAAAAAAUACAUUAAUAGAAUACCGGCAGGUAACCCCAUUGUUGUGACUGUCGGUUAACCUCGGUGUCAAAGCCUGUCAAUCCCAGCUACUCGGGAGGCUGAGGCUGUUUCACAUAAAUUUUGACUAAUGAAAAUUACAUUUGUUUUGCUUUGUGCGCUUAUAAACAAGUAUUAAAGAGGCAAGAACACACAGGCUAGACUAGGAACACGGCAAGGCCAUGAACAGUCCUUGGCGCACCAUGUUCUGUGGUCCCAGGAACCUGGUGCCAACCUCUGCCCAUCCCUGCUCCUGCCAGCGAAACCUCCCAGAUACCCAGAGGAAAGUGGCAAAGUAAACAACCAAGAAUCUGUGGGGGACUCAGCUUAUUGUGCCAU